rnacentral:rRNA from 1 species
CGUCCUAUACUGCAAGUCGAGCGGGAAUUGAUGAGGAGCUUUGCUCCCUUUGAACCUUCGCCGCAAGAGGGGUGUGUCACAUGUGGUAACCCGUACUGUAUGACAGUGGAUAUCAUCUCUCGGGAGACCCCGGAGCUUACAGCGAUAAAUCAUUUCCAAGCGCGAGGUUCUGUUGUGAAGUGGCGUUUUGCUAUCACUUAUAGAUGGACCCGCGCCGCAUUAGCUAGUUGGUAAGGUAACGGCUCACCAAGGCAACGAUACGUAGCCGACCUGAGAGGGUGAUCGGCCACACUGGAACUGAGACACGGUCCAGACUCCUACGGGAGGCAGCAGUAGGGAAUCUUCCGCAAUGGACGAAAGUCUGACGGAGCAACGCCGCGUGAGUGAUGAAGGUUUUCGGAUCGUAAAACUCUGUUGUUAGGGAAGAACAAAUAUCUUUCUAAUUGUGCGCUUCCUUAAGGGACCUUAUCAAAAAGCCCCCGGUAAAUAACUGCCCACAGCCGCCGUUAUACCUUAGGUGGCAGCGUUUUUCGGAAUUUAUGGGCCUAAAAGGGCGGGCGGGUGUUUCUUUAGUUCUAAGUUAAAACCCACGGGUCAACCGUGGAAGGUCCUUUGAAACUGGAGAAAUUUAAUUCAAAAGAAGAAAGUGGAAUUUCCUGUUGUACCGUUAAAUGCCCAGAAAUUUGGAAGAACCCCAAUUGUCAAAGGUAAUUUCUGGUCUGUAACUGACCCUGAUGUCCGAAAGCCUGGGGAAUCAACCAGGAUUAAAAACGCUGGUAGUCCACGCUGUAAACAAUAAUGGUAACUGGUAGGGGGUUUCCCCCCCUUAGUGCUGCAGCUAACGCAUUAAUCACUCCGCCCGGGGGAGUACGACCCCCAGGUCUGAAACUCCAACGGAAUUGACGGGGGGCCCGCCCCAAUCGGUGGAACAAGUGGUUUAAUUCGAAGCACCCCAAAAUCAUUACAAGUUUUGCAUCUUUU